rnacentral:rRNA from 1 species
AACGAACGCUGGCGGCAGGCUUAACACAUGCAAGUCGAACGCAUCCUUCGGGGUGAGUGGCAGACGGGUGAGUAACGCGUGGGAACGUGCCCUUCAGUUCGGGAUAACCCAGGGAAACUUGGGCUAAUACCGGAUACGUGCGAGAGCAGAAAGAUUUAUCGCUGAAGGAUCGGCCCGCGUCUGAUUAGCUAGUUGGUGGGGUAAUGGCCCACCAAGGCGACGAUCAGUAGCUGGUCUGAGAGGAUGAUCAGCCACAUUGGGACUGAGACACGGCCCAAACUCCUACGGGAGGCAGCAGUGGGGAAUAUUGGACAAUGGGCGCAAGCCUGAUCCAGCCAUGCCGCGUGAGUGAUGAAGGCCUUAGGGUUGUAAAGCUCUUUUGUCCGGGAAGAUUAUGACUGUACCGGAAGAAUAAGCCCCGGCAAACUUCGUGCCAGCCGCCGCCGUAA